rnacentral:rRNA from 1 species
UACGUAGGGUGCAAGCGUUACUCGGAAUUACUGGGCGUAAAGCGUGCGCAGGCGGCUUUGUAAGCCAGAUGUGAAAGCCCCGGGCUCAACCUGGGAACUGCAUUUGGGACUGCAAGGCUGGAGUACGGCAGAGGGAGGUGGAAUUCCACGUGUAGCAGUGAAAUGCGUAGAGAUGUGGAGGAACACCGAUGGCGAAGGCAGCCUCCUGGGCUAGUACUGACGCUCAUGCACGAAAGCGUGGGGAGCAAACAGG